rnacentral:rRNA from 1 species
GGUACUCGCGUGCGAGUAGCGUGGGGAAUGAGGUGGUGGCGAGCGUGUGUCGGAUGUACGGGGCGUAAAGGGCGCGGAGGAGGCGUGUUAAGUCAGCGGUGAAAUCUCCAAGCUGAACUUGGAACGGCCAGCUGAGACUGAUGUGCUAGAGUGCAGAAGGGGCAAUCGGAAUUCUUGGUGUAGCGGUGAAAUGCGUAGAUAUCAAGAGGAACACCUGAGGUGAAGACGGGUUGCUGGGCUGACACUGACGCUGAGGCGCGAAAGCCAGGGGAGCAAACGGGAUUAGAUACCCGAGUAGUC